rnacentral:rRNA from 1 species
UAUGAGGGGAACCGCCUGAACUGAAACAUCUAAGUAGGGCGAGGAAGAGAAAUCAACUGAGAUUCCGUAAGUAGUGGCGAGCGAACGCGGAAGAGGCCAAACCUAAUGUAGUAAUAUGUUAGGGGUUCGGACAGUAAAAUGAAUUGUCGAGAUUUAGCCGAAUGUCAUGGGAAGGGCAAUCAAAGAUGGUGAAAAUCCAGUAGGCGAAAAGUUAAGACAUCAGACUGUAUCCAGAGUACCGCCGGACACGUGAAACCCGGUGGGAAUACGGGGGGACCAUCCUCCAAGCCUAAAUACUACUCGGUGACCGAUAGAGAAGAAGUACUGUGAAGGAAAGGUGAAAAGCACCCCGGAAGGGGAGUGAAAGAGAACCUGAAACCUUGUGUUUACAAGCACCGAAAGUUCAUCAACGAACGAUCGGGUACCUUUUGUAGAAUGGUCCGGCGAGUGAAUGUAACUGGCAAGGUUAAGCACUUAAGGUGUGAAGCCGUAGCGAGAGCGAGUCUGAAAAGGGCGCAUGAAGUCAGUUGUAUUCGACCCGAAACCGGGUGACCUACCCAUGUCCAGGCUGAAGUGCAGGUAAAACUUCAUGGAGGGCCGAACCGACUCCCGUUGAAAUGGUAGCGGAUGAGGUGUGGGUAGCGGAGAAAUUCCAAUCGAACCCGGAGAUAGCUGGUUCUCUCCGAAAUAGCUUUAGGGCUAGCCUUGGAAUAGAUUACUGGAGGUAAAGCACUGAAUUGGCUAGGGGCCGAGAGGUUACUGAACCUUAUCAAACUAAGAAUGCCAGAUAAUCGUUUUCCAGGAGUCAGACAGUGGGAGAUAAGUUUCAUUGUCAAAAGGGAAACAGCCCAGACCUACAGCUAAGGUCCCAAAGUAUAGUUAAGUGGAAAAGGAUGUGGAAUUGCAUAGACAACCAGGAUGUUGGCUUAGAAGCAGCCACUCAUUAAAAGAGUGCGUAAUAGCUCACUGGUCGAGUGAUUCUGCGCCGAAAAUUUAACGGGGCUAAACUAUACACCGAAGCUUAGGAUACCGCAAGGUAUGGUAGGAGAGCGUUCUGUACGGAGUGAAGUCGUAGCGAAAGCGGCGGUGGACUGUACAGAAGUGAGAAUGCCGGAAUAAGUAGCGAGAAUUAAGUGAGAAUCUUAAUGGCCGAAAGUCUAAGGUUUUUGGAGGAAGGUUCGUCCGCUCCAAGUAAGUCGGGAGCUAAGGUCAGGCCGAAAGGCGUAGCCGAUGCACAAACGGUUGAUAUUCCGUUACCGUCUACAAUUUAAACAAAGGGACACAUACAAAGCGUUUAACCCGGGCGAUGGUUGACCCGGGCGCAAGGGACUGAAAUAAGAGUAGGGAAGUAAAUGUGGCGUAUGGCGAGAAAAGCUUUGUGAAUAGAAGUAGACGCCCGUACCGCAAACCGACACAGGUGGACAGGAAGAGAAUUCUAAGGCCAGCGGGAGAAGGGUAGUUAAGGAACUCGGCAAAUUGACUCCGUAACUUCGGAAUAAGGAGUGCUCGAAAGAGCCGCAGAGAAUAGGCCCAGGCGACUGUUUAGCAAAAACACAGGUCUCUGCCAAAUCGAAAGAUGAAGUAUAGGGGCUGACACCUGCCCGGUGCCGGAAGGUUAAGAGGAGGAGUGCAAGCUCCGAAUUGAAGCCCCGGUAAACGGCGGCCGUAACUAUAACGGUCCUAAGGUAGCGAAAUUCCUUGUCGGGUAAGUUCCGACCCGCACGAAUGGUGUAACGAUCUGGGCACUGUCUCAACUACCCACCCGGCGAAAUUGUAGUACCGGUGAAGAUGCCGGUUACCUGCGGCAAGACGGAAAGACCCCAUGGAGCUUUACUGUAGCCUGAUAUUGGGUUUCGGAAAUCUAUGUACAGGAUAGGCGGGAGACUGGGAAGUAUGAGCGUCAGCUUAUACGGAGUCAUUGUUGGGAUACCGCCCUUAGGUUUCUGGAAUUCUAACCUGCGACCGUGAAUCCGGUCGGGGGACAUUGUCAGGUGGGCAGUUUGACUGGGGCGGUCGCCUCCGAAAAGGUAACGGAGGCGCUCAAAGGUUGGCUCAGCACGGACGGAAACCGUGCCUCAGAGUGUAAACGCAAAAGCCAGCCUAACUGCGAGGAUGACGGUCCGAGCAGUAACGAAAGUUGGAGUUAGUGAUCCGGCGGUAUGUGAAUGGAAAUGCCGUCGCUCAACGGAUAAAAGCUACCCUGGGGAUAACAGGCUGAUCUCCCCCAA